rnacentral:rRNA from 1 species
AUUGAACGCUGGCGGCAUGCUUUACACAUGCAAGUCGAACGGUAACAGGGAGCUUGCUCCGCUGACGAGUGGCGAACGGGUGAGUAAUGCAUCGGAACGUACCCAGUCGUGGGGGAUAACGUAGCGAAAGUUACGCUAAUACCGCAUACGUCCUGAGGGAGAAAGCGGGGGACCGUAAGGCCUCGCGCGAUUGGAGCGGCCGAUGUCGGAUUAGCUAGUUGGUAGGGUAAAGGCCUACCAAGGCGACGAUCCGUAGCGGGUCUGAGAGGAUGAUCCGCCACACUGGGACUGAGACACGGCCCAGACUCCUACGGGAGGCAGCAGUGGGGAAUUUUGGACAAUGGGCGAAAGCCUGAUCCAGCCAUGCCGCGUGAGUGAAGAAGGCCUUCGGGUUGUAAAGCUCUUUCAGCCGGAAAGAAAUCGCGCAGGAUAAUACUCUGCGUGGAUGACGGUACCGGAAGAAGAAGCACCGGCUAACUACGUG